AGGCUGGGAGGCUGGGAGGCUGGGAGGCUGGAGAGGCUGGGAGGCUGGGGCUCCUCACUUCCCUCUUCGGUUGCGCUCAAUUCCUAGACUCCGGGCCCAGAUGGCUCUUCCAACAAACACUCUAAGCACUGAGGGCUUUCCUCCUCUGCUUCUUUUCUUUUUAAUAUUCACCCAGAACUUUCGUGGGGAAAGAAAAAGAAAAGAAAAGAAAAAAAAAACAACAGAAAAACAAACACUUCUGAGUGCUUUCAGUCUCAAACAAAGCUUAAUACAUUAGUUGGCAGGAAAUCCAGGGUGGAAUUUGCCAUUAAUCUGUAGUAAGGCAACCCUUCAAACACCCGCACUGAACAAUCAAACACUUUUAAAUGUCAUUCCUCAACAAAAGCGUGCAUUGUCCCUGGAGAUGCCCCGGUGGCACUAACCUUUCCAGAAUGGGGAGAAUAAAUCUCUUCACUUCUCAGGUUGAGUGCUAAACGGAACUUUCUAGAGUUUCUCACCACCAGGCCUCCUGCAGGCACAUUUCAGCUCAAGGAGUCUCUUAAUGGACCAGCUUUUCUCCUCUGGUGGUGUUUUAUAUGCAGCUCUCUCUCUCUCUCUCUCUCUCUCUCUCUCUCUCUCUCUCUCUCUCUCUCUCUCUCUGUUGGGUGUGUACACAUCUGUGCCUUCUUUUCAAAAAACUGAAAUUGUUCUUCAUGAUGCCAAAGACAAGUAGAAAGUUCACCCUUCAACCCCCAUGCCUCUCGGCCUCUGGAAUGGGAUAGUUAAGAUUUAUCGAGCACUUGUUAUGCACCAGAGGCUGUUGUCUCAAUCCACAGCACACUACAGGUCUGCUUGCUGAUUCCACUCUCUAGACCAUGGUUUUGCAGCUGAUGUUCCAGUGCUGUAUUGCUAUUGUUGUUGUUACUUUGUUGCUGUGACAAAUGACCCGACAGAGAAGACUCAAAGAAAAGCACUUUCUUUGGGUUCCCAGUUUGGGGGUAGAAUCCACCAUGGCUAGAAAAGUGAUGUGACAGAAGUAUAAGGUAAGUGGCUGCCCUGCCCUGUUCCUGGUCAGGAAGGAGGGGGGAAAGGGGGAGUGGGAGAGGGGGAGAGAGAGAGAGGAAGAGGGGGAGAAAGGGAAAAAGGAAGAGAGGGAGAGGGAGGCAGAUGAAUACUGGUGUUCAGCUCACCUCCCUCCCCCCAUCUUUAGUUCAGGACCCUGGUCCAUGGGCUGUGGUCACCCGUGUUCAGAGUGGAUUUUCCCUCUUCAGUCACAUCUCUUGGGGACUACCUUCACAGACAUGCCCUGCAGUUUGUCUCCUACAAGAUUCUAAGUCUGUCAAGUUAACAGUCAAG
rnacentral:lncRNA from 1 species